rnacentral:tRNA from 1 species
GCGCCGGUGGUGGAAUUGGUAGACACGUACGCUUGAGGGGCGUAUAUCGAAAGAUGUGAAGGUUCAAGUCCUUUCCGGCGCACCA